GGGCCCAGUCGCGUCGGGCCUCCCGAGGGGGCUGCGAGUGUCAGUCGGCUCUCCGCACGUGUCCGCGGCCUCGCGGAGCAGCACUGCAAGCUAUUUGGCAUAUGAAGGUCUUGACCUGAGAAAACCAUCUUGGAUAACUGCAGCAAGGAAAAGGAAAAAUGCAACACCUAGGAGAUUUCAGUAAACAGUAGAAUCAUGCCAACCUAAUCUGUGUUAAAAUGCUUGGAAUGUGGGAGCCGCUGAUGAUGCCUCUUGUCUGUGUGUCUGACUGAAUCCUUUCUUUUCUCAGAGCAGCAAAGCAAAGCCUGGGAACCAGGCCAAAUGCCUGCCACUUACCUUAAAUUGAUCAGCCACUUUGAGAUUAAAACCCCUGAAAGCUGCCACACCGUGAAAACAAGGCCUCCUUCACAUUAAAGGCAAAUUGCGACUUUGAAAAAAAAAAAAA
rnacentral:lncRNA from 1 species